GAUACAUAUACUAACGGGUGCGAUCAUACCAGCACUAAUGCACCGGAUCCCAUCAGAACUCCGCAGUAAAGCGUGCUUGGGCGAGAGUUGUACUAGGAUGGGUGACCUCCUUGGAAGUCCUCGUCUUGCACCCCUUUUUGUUCCUUUCGAUUGUUUUUUUUUUUUGGGUCUUUUCAUUUGAAAAACAAGGCAUCUUCCAAACGACGCCAUUUCUAGACCGUGUGGAACCAUGCCUCCUACAGAAACUUUUCGGAAAGCCCCAAGUGUGCUCUCUGGCAUGUCCAAGGGUUUAAAGACUAUAGGUGCGGUAUACAAGGCCAAAAUUUCGAGUUUUAGACCCUCUUCUAGGCCCUUUUCUAAAACAUAAGCCCCAGUUUAAGUGUCGUCAAAUGUGGUGUCCUAAUUUAUAUAUCUUGCAACGAAUGCUCGUCGCAGCUGGGCGGGAAAAGCCAUAUAAAGAGUGCAACACACGUGAAGAGAUUUCAUUGCGGUCUCAAAGCCAAAGGAUAUAUGCUAUUGCGAUACAUAUACUAACGGGUGCGAUCAUACCAACAAUAAUUCACCGGUUCCCAUCAGAACUCCGCAGUAAAGCGUGCUUGGGCGAGAGUUGUACUAGGAUGGGUGACCUCCUUGGUAGUCCUCGUCUUGCACCCCUUUUUUGUUCCUUUUGAUUCUUUUUUUUUUUGGGUCUUUUCAUUUGAAACACAAGGCAUCUUCCAAACGACGCCAUUUCUAGACCGUGUGGAACCAUGCCUCCUACAGAAACUUUUCGGAAAGCCCCAAGUGUGCUCUCUGGCUUGUCCAAGGGUCUAAAGACCAUGGGUGCGGUUUACACACGUGAAGAGAUUUCAUUGCGGUCUCAAAGCCAAAGGAUAUAUGCUAUUGCGAUACAUAUAUUAACGGGUGCGAUCAUACCAGCAUUAAUGCAUCGGUUCCCAUCAGAACUCCGUAGUAAAGCGUGCUUGGGCGAGAGUAGUACUAGGAUGGGUGACCUCCUGGGCAGUCCUCGUGUUGCACCAUUUUUUUGUUCCUCUUGAUUCUUUUUUUUUUUUGGGUCUUUUCAUUUGAAAAACAAGGCAUCUUCCGAACGACGCCAUUUCUAGACCGUGUGGAACCAUACCUCCUACAACAACUUUUCAGAAAGCCCCAAGAGUACUCUCGGGCGUGCCCAAGGGUCUAAAGACCAUGGGUGCGGUUUACAAGGCCAAAAUUUUGAGUUUUAGACCCUCUUCCGGGCCCUUUUCCAAACAAAAGCCCCGGUUAAAGUGUCGUCAAACGUUGUGUCCUAAUUUAUAUAUCUUGCAAUGAAUGCUCGUCGCAGCUGGGUGGGAAAAGCCAUAUAAAAAGUGUUACACACGCCAAGAGAUUUCAUUGCGGACUCAAAACCAAAGGAUAUAUGCUAUUGCGAUACAUAUACUAACGGGUGUGAUCAUAACAGCACUAAUGCACCGGAUAUCAUCAGAACUCCGCAGUAAAGCGUGCUUGGGCGAGAGUUGGACUAGGAUGGGUGACCUCCUUGGUAGUCCUUGUCUUGCACCCCUUUUUUGUUCCUUUUGAUUCCUUUUUUUUUUUUGGGUCUUUUCAUUUGAAACACAAGGCAUCUUCCGAACGACGCCAUUUCUAGACCGUGUGGAACCAUGCCUCCUACAGCAACUUUUCGGAAAGCCCCAAGUGUGCUCUCUGGCUUGUCCAAGGGUCUAAAGACCAUGGGUGCGGUUUACAAGGCCAAAAUUUUAAGUUUUGGACCCUCUUCCGGGCCCUUUUCUAAAACAUAAGCCCCGGUUUAAGUGUCGUUAAACGUGGUGUCCUAACUUAUAUAUCUUGAAACGAAUGCUCGUUGCAGCUGGGCAGGAAAAGCCAUACAAACAGUGCAACACACGAGAAGAGAUUCCAUUGCGGUCUCAAAGCCAAAGGAUAAAUGCUAUUGCGAUACAUAUACUAACGGGUGCGAUCAUACCAGCACUAAUGCACCGGAUCCCAUCAGAACUCCGCAGUAAAGCGUGCUUGGGCGAGAGUUGUACUAGGAUGGGUGACCUCCUUGGAAGUCCUCGUCUUGCACCCCUUUUUGUUCCUUUCGAUUGUUUUUUUUUUUUUUUGGGUCUUUUCAUUUGAAAAACAAGGCAUCUUCCGAACGACGCCAUUUCAAGACCGUGUGGAACCA
rnacentral:lncRNA from 1 species